rnacentral:rRNA from 1 species
AUUGAACGCUGGCGGCAGGCCUAACACAUGCAAGUCGAGCGGAUGGAGAGAGCUUGCUCUCUGAUUUAGCGGCGGACGGGUGAGUAAUGCCUAGGAAUCUGCCUGGUAGUGGGGGAUAACGUUCCGAAAGGAACGCUAAUACCGCAUACGUCCUACGGGAGAAAGCAGGGGACCUUCGGGCCUUGCGCUAUCAGAUGAGCCUAGGUCGGAUUAGCUAGUUGGUGAGGUAAUGGCUCACCAAGGCUACGAUCCGUAACUGGUCUGAGCGGAUGAUCAGUCAAACUGGAACUGCGACACGGUCCAGACUCCUACGGGAGGCAGCAGUGGGGAAUAUUGGACAAGGGGCGAAAGCCUGAUCCAGCCAUGCCGCGUGUGUGAAGAAGGUCGUCGGAUUGUAAAGCACUUUAAGUUGGGAGGAAGGGCAGUAAGUUAAUACCUUGCUGUUUUGACGUUACCGACAGAAUAAGCACCGGCUAACUUCGUGCCAGCAGCCGCCGCGGUAA